GGAUUUAUUGGGCGUAAAGCGAGUCGCAGGCGGUUUAAUAAGUCUGAAGUUAAAGGCAAGUGGGCUUAACCAUUGUUCGCUUUGGAAACUGUUAAACUUGAGUGCAGAAGGGGAGAGUGGAAUUCCAUGUGUAGCGGUGAAAUGCGUAGAUAUAUGGAGGAACACCGGUGGCGAAAGCGGCUCUCUGGUCUGUAACUGACGCUGAGGCUCGAAAGCGUGGGGAGC
rnacentral:rRNA from 1 species